GAUGAACGCUGGCGGCGUGCCUAAUACAUGCAAGUCGAGCGAACAGAUGAGGAGCUUGCUCCUCUGACGUUAGCGGCGGACGGGUGAGUAACACGUGGAUAACCUACCUAUAAGACUGGGAUAACUUCGGGAAACCGGAGCUAAUACCGGAUAAUAUAUUGAACCGCAUGGUUCAAUAGUGAAAGACGGUUUUGCUGUCACUUAUAGAUGGAUCCGCGCCGCAUUAGCUAGUUGGUAAGGUAACGGCUUACCAAGGCGACGAUGCGUAGCCGACCUGAGAGGGUGAUCGGCCACACUGGAACUGAGACACGGUCCAGACUCCUACGGGAGGCAGCAGUAGGGAAUCUUCCGCGAUGGGCGAAAGCCUGACGGAGCAACGCCGCGUGAGUGAUGAAGGUCUUCGGAUCGUAAAACUCUGUUAUUAGGGAAGAACAAAUGUGUAAGUAACUAUGCACGUCUUGACGGUACCUAAUCAGAAAGCCACGGCUAACUACGUG
rnacentral:rRNA from 1 species